GGUACAGAGGACACAGGCCUGUGUCACGUUUCCUUACAGUCGUUUUUUUACAGAGAAAAGGGGCGUUGUUUUUUCACUCCUUUCUCAACAGUUCCUGUGAAUAAACGAAACAUUUCGGUGCUCCCUGAGAGCAAGAGCCCUCACUUCUUCUUGCAGUGCCGGCACCAUGUGUUGGUGAAGCUGGUGCUCUGGGGGCCGCUCACUCGAAUGACACCUGGAGGCCUUUUCCUCCCUGAUCACCCCCCUUCCCCAGCCUGACUUUUUGGCCUCCUGCCCAACCAGACACCUCAAACUCUGUCAGCGCCCUGGCAUUCUGUCAGAGAAUCCUCACCAGUUCUCACCAACUUUCUCCCCAGGCAAGGGAAGCUGCCAGCUUGGCACUCUGCCAGAACGGGUUUCCCUGAAGGAAGCUGCUCACACGGAGAUGAGCCUCUCGGGGCAGGACCUCUUCCCAAGCCCCGCACACCCACCCCUGCAGCCCUUUUGGCUCCCCUUUUCCCCCGUGCCUCAGCACUCCUUGCCUGGCUGCAGAUAACGAACUGGGGUUGCCUAAAGGGCAGAUCUGCCCUCUCCGUGUCCUCGUCCUGGCAAAAAGAGUCCUCUUAAAAUCAUGCGCUAAUUCUGUACGGGAGCAUGCAAAAGACAUUACUUAGAGAUUGAAAUUUCAAACUAUCUGUAGUUUUUCAAUGGAAAUGUAUCAGCUAGGGAAAAACCAUCAAGCUCAUUAUUGUUUUUUGAUCUUCAGUUGUAUUUUUGUGAAUAUUUUAAUACAUCUUUUUCAAUUUCUGGAUUGUGUUGUGUGCUCAUUUUGACUAAGAUAGAAAAAGAGACAACGCCUUUCACUCAUAUCAUUCCAGCUAUACCUGCCUUCUUUUCUUCAAAAAUGCCGUCUGUGUGCCUGCUUCUCUGGGCCUUUGCACGUGCUGUUCCCUGGGCCUGAAGCACCUUCUGCAGAUAAUCCUGUGGUUUGCUCUCUGACUUCCUUUAAGCCUCUGCUCAGAUGUUACCUCCUCAGGGAGACCUUCUGUGAUAUAUAAAAGAGCAAGCCCCCCCACCCCCACCACCUCAGCCUUGCUAGCCCCCUCAGUUCUGCUCUGGUUGCUCUAUUUCUCUCCCUCUCUCCCAGUACACGUUUAACUUGUCUGUUCUCCCCCACUAGAACAUAGGCAACAAGAGGCCAGGACCUCGCUGUUUUGUUCACUGCUCCGUCUGCAGUAAGGGGAACAGUGCCUGGCACUUAGCUGCUCAAUACAUGUUACCUGGAUGGAUGAGUGUGGAAGGAUUCAUCCACUCAGCAACCUACACAGAACAAUCCUGUGCCAAGCACUGUGCUAAGCAUAAGGAAACAAACAAGAUAAAGCUCCUCAAGGAGCUUGCCACAGGGCGGAGGUGACAGGUGACAUGAAUGGAAAUAACUAAUAGUUACCAAAUACUUGGUGUGAGCCAGGCACUUUGCAUUUCUUGCUCUAUUAUUUCUGUGAGUUAAUAGUAAUUGUACUAAUCUUAAUCCCAUUGUUUGAAAGAUUAUAUGGCUUGCCCAGGGCCACUUAGCUAAUAAGGUCCAGAGAAGAGGGGCUGGGCCUGGGGCCGCUGUUCCUAACCACUAUGUGGUUGUUCCUAACCACUAUGUCCUGUGGCCUCUCACACCAAAGGAAAGAACCAAACUGCUUCCUUACUCAAAUAAAUGUGCUGCGUGACUGAAAUGCAGUUGGAGUUUUCUCCCAGUCCCUUAAGAGCUGGUUAGGGACAAACUUGAGAGGGUAGUGUAGUCUAGGUGGUAGGCACAGAUGUCUGAGAGUUUUAACCUCAGUCUGGAAGACAAUAUGGUGACUUAAUUUGUUGAGAACUAUGUCACAAAUAAUGUGUUACUAAUACAACAUUGAGGCUUUGCA